rnacentral:rRNA from 1 species
UACACACCGCCCGUCACACCAUGGGAGUUGGUCUUACCCGACGGCGCUGCGCCAACCGCAAGGGAGGUAGCCGCCUAUGGUAUGACUGGUGACUGGGGUA